rnacentral:rRNA from 1 species
CCUACGGGAGGCAGCAGUGGGGAAUCUUCCGCAAUGGGCGCAAGCCUGACGGAGCAACGCCGCGUGAAUGAAGAAGGUCUUCGGAUCGUAAAGUUCUGUUCUUAGGGAAGAAGUCUUAGGUUGUGAAUAAUGACUUAAGGUGACGGUACCUAUGGAGAAAGCUCCGGCUAACUACGUGCCAGCAGCCGCGGUAAUACGUAGGGAGCGAGCGUGGUCCGGAAUUACUGGGCGUAAAGGGCGCGUAGACGGGAACUUAAGUUAGAUGUGAAAACUCAGGGCUCAACCCUGAGCCUGCAUUUGAAACUGUGUUUCUUGAGUGCUGGAGAGGCAAUCGGAAUUCCGUGUGUAGCGGUGAAAUGCGUAGAUAUACGGAGGAACACCAGUGGCGAAGGCGGAUUGCUGGACAGUAACUGACGCUGAGGCGCGAAAGCGUGGGGAGCAAACAGGAUUAGAUACCCUAGUAGUC